UACAGAGGGCCCAAGCGUUGUUCGGAUUCACUGGGCGUAAAGGGUGCGUAGGUGGUAGGGUAAGUUUGAUGUGAAAGCUCCGAGCUCAACUCGGAAAUGGCAUUGAAUACUAUCCUGCUUGAGGGUUGGAGGGGGGACUGGAAUUCUCGGUGUAGCAGUGAAAUGCGUAGAUAUCGAGAGGAACACCGGUGGCGAAGGCGAGUCCCUGGACAACACCUGACACUGAGGCAAGAAAGCUAGGGGAGCAAACAGG
rnacentral:rRNA from 1 species